rnacentral:rRNA from 1 species
AUUGAACGCUGGCGGCAGGCCUAACACAUGCAAGUCGAGCGAGCGGCGGACGGGUGAGUAAUGUCUGGGAAACUGCCUGAUGGAGGGGGAUAACUACUGGAAACGGUAGCUAAUACCGCAUACCAUCAGAUGUGCCCAGAUGGGAUUAGCUAGUAGGUGGGGUAAUGGCUCACCUAGGCGACGAUCCCUAGCUGGUCUGAGAGGAUGACCAGCCACACUGGAACUGAGAAAAGGUCCAGACUCCUACGGGAGGCAGGAGUGGGGAAUAUUGGAAAAUGGGCGCAAGCCUGAUGGAGCCAAGCCGGGUGGGUGAAGAAGGGCUUCGGGGUGUAAAGCACUUUCAGCGGGGAGGCGUUACCCGCAGAAGAAGCACCGGCUAACUCCGUGCCAGCAGCCGCGGUAAUAC